rnacentral:tRNA from 1 species
CAGGGAGACAACAAAAUGUUUAAUAUUAUUAUUUUGUCGCCUUAGGUCGAUCGGUAUCUCACGUUUUUAAUUUAUUAAGAAUUUCAUUUCCUAAGUUUUUCUAGGUCACACCCAUUAUUUUUCCUGGGCCAUUAGCUCAGGUGGUUAGAGCGCACCCCUGAUAAGGGUGAGGUCCCUGGUUCAAGUCCAGGAUGGCCCAUAUCUCUAUGUUGGGGGUAUAGCUCAGUUGGUAGAGCGCCUGCUUUGCAAGCAGGAUGUCAGCGGUUCGAGUCCGCUUACCUCCACUGAUCACCACCUCUUCCAUAAUCGGUAGAAAGGAAAUUUUUUGAGUUGUGAUCAAAUUCUGAAAGAAUCUAGCUUCCUAAUGAAAUCAUUAAGAUGCUGGACUCAUUGAAUUAAUUUCAUUGUUUUCAGAGAACCUUGACAACUGCAUAGAUUAUUUUUAAAGACAAUAAGCAUCUUUUAUGAUGCAGAUUUAUUAUUUGUGCAAAUGCAUUAAUAACAAUUCUAUUAAGCUGAUGCUUCAAUAUUUGAAGUUAUU